rnacentral:lncRNA from 1 species
CCAGGCCUCUGCUUUCAUAGACUGAGAUUUCUCCUACUUAGCAGCAGCAGAGGACAUGACUACACAGCCAGACUCCAGAAAGAGAGGAAACCACCUCUUGCUGCACUCUUGAGCCCUAUAUUUCCCAUAGGACUCAACUUGAGAAGGGUGGCAUUUCAGUGGCAGGGGAAAAAAAUUAUGAGAAGAAGACAUGAGUGUAUUGUCUGCAAAUAAAGGUGAAGUGACAGCGCUUUCAAUGAAAGGCUCCGCAUGAUUGGAAUUAA